CGGGGUGUGGUGUAACGCGAGCAUCCAAGUCCUGGGAACUUGAGGGCAGGGUUCAAUUCCCUGCACCCCGACCA
rnacentral:tRNA from 1 species